GUCUUGGAACCUUUGGUCAUUUGAUGGUUUUGAAAAAAGCUUACAUAACUCUUUUUAGCUCCAUAUCUCUCCCAAAUUUUCCUUCUCUAAAAAGAGUCUCACCACCCUAUUCUAAGUCUUGAGAAUAGCUAGGAAGACCUCUUGCUGGUCCUCAUUGGAGCUAUUUGAAGAAAUUUGAAAAGCUACAAAGCUUGUGAUUAUCCCAAAAUUGAUGCUUCACAUAACAUCCCCAAGAGCCAAGCAAACCGUCUGCAAGAGACGAUGAAAACAAAAGAUAAAUAUUCGAGACGUACCAGUGAAGAAUGUGGACGAAUCUAGGGCUUCGAUGCGCCGUCGCUCGAAGAGAUGGAGGCCGCUAUCAGAGUUCUUCGUUGCUCGGGCCGCUGGAUCGUCCUCGUCGCAUGUAAUGGAGCUGGGUUUGCACUAACAAUGGAGCUCGUUCGCGUGGCGGAAGGAGGUAGAAAUUUUUCAGAGUGACAAAGUUUAAUGGUGAAAACUAAAGGCAGGGUUAAAAAAUGUUUGGUCACUUUUAAUGGCAAGUUGGGCCUCACCAAAGACGAGCUUACAAUGUGGGGCCUAGUCCGACAUUGAAGCAUAAAAUUUAAUUUCUUUUUAUAAUUUUAGCACCUUUUUACCUUGUGGGACAUUGUUUCCUCGGUGUUUUUUUUCUUGUCUGACAUUAAAACCCAGAUUUCUAGUAGUAGCAUAUCAAUAUUUAUGGAGUUCCAUCCCAAAAUCAAUUGGUUAGAGGAAUAUCCCAUUUAUAAUAUAGAUCCUUGUUA